rnacentral:rRNA from 1 species
GAGUCGGACCUGCCCAGUGAAUUUUUUUAACGGCCGCGGUACUCUGACCGUGCAAAGGUAGCAUAAUCAUUUGCCUUAUAAUUGAAGGCUAGUAUGAAUGGUUUGACAAGAAUAUAGCUGUCUCUUUUUGAUUAAAUAGAAUUUUAUUUAUAGGUGAAGAAGCCUAUAUCAAAUUAAAAGACAAGAAGACCCUAUCGAGCUUUAAAAAAGUUAAUAGAUUNNAAUAACCAAUAAUGUAUAAAAGAUUAGCUAUUAAAAAUUUUAGUUGGGGCGACAAAGGAACAAACAAAGCUUCCUUUAUUNAAAUAAUGNAUACACAGAUAUUGAUCCAAAAUAUAUUGAUUAAAGAAAUUAGUUACCGUAGGGAUAACAGCAUUAUCUUCUUUAAGAGUCCAUAUCGAAAAGAAGGUUUGUGACCUCGAUGUUGGACCAGAAUGUCCUAAAGAUGCAGCAGUCUUUAAGGG